ACUCCUACGGGAGGCAGCAGUGAGGAAUAUUGGUCAAUGGAGGGAACUCUGAACCAGCCAUCCCGCGUGUAGGAAGACGGCCUUAUGGGUUGUAAACUACUUUUAUACAGGAAGAAACGUACCCUCGUGAGGGUGCCUGACGGUACUGUAGGAAUAAGCACCGGCUAACUCCGUGCCAGCAGCCGCGGUAAUACGGAGGGUGCGAGCGUUAAUCGGAAUUACUGGGCGUAAAGCGCAUGCAGGUGGUUUGUUAAGUCAGAUGUGAAAGCCCGGGGCUUAACCUCGGAAUUGCAUUUGAAACUGGCAGACUAGAGUACUGUAGAGGGGG
rnacentral:rRNA from 1 species